GCGUAGGUGAUGGACAACAGGUUGAUAUUCCUGUACUACCGAUAACCGUUUGAGAGAAGGGAUGACACAGUAGGAUAAGCUAAGCACACUGUUGGUUAUGUGUGCCCAAGCAUUGAGGCAGUCAAAGCAGGCAAAUCCGCUUUGAUAAUGCUGGGAUGGGAUGGGGAGCGAAAUUUAGUAGCGAAGUAGCUGAUUUCACACUGUCAAGAAAAG
rnacentral:rRNA from 1 species